GAUGAACGCUGGCGGCGUGCUUAACACAUGCAAGUCGAACGAAGCACCUUGAUUUGAUUCUUCGGAUGAAGAUCUUGGUGACUGAGUGGCGGACGGGUGAGUAACGCGUGGGUAACCUGCCUCAUACAGGGGGAUAACAGUUAGAAAUGACUGCUAAUACCGCAUAAGACCACAGUACCGCAUGGUACAGGGGUAAAAACUCCGGUGGUAUGAGAUGGACCCGCGUCUGAUUAGGUAGUUGGUGGGGUAACGGCCUACCAAGCCGACGAUCAGUAGCCGACCUGAGAGGGUGACCGGCCACAUUGGGACUGAGACACGGCCCAAACUCCUACGGGAGGCAGCAGUGGGGAAUAUUGCACAAUGGGGGAAACCCUGAUGCAGCGACGCCGCGUGAGCGAUGAAGUAUUUCGGUAUGUAAAGCUCUAUCAGCAGGGAAGAAAAUGACGGUACCUGACUAAGAAGCACCGGCUAAAUACGUGCCAGCCGCCGCGGUAA
rnacentral:rRNA from 1 species